rnacentral:RNase_P_RNA from 1 species
AACGGCAUCCGCUCUAUCGCUGGCAUCGCAAGGUGCAAGAGGAAAGUCCGGGCAGCACAGAGUCACCAUACUUCCUAACGGGAAGGGGCGGGCUUCGAAAGGGGCUCGUCACAGCAAGUGCCACAGAAAACAGACCGCCGGCCAAGGCCGGCAAGGGUGAAAACGCGAGGUAAGAGCUCACGACAUGCACAGAGAUGUGCAUGAUGGUAAACCUUAUGGGCUGAAAAACCAAAUAUACCGACAGUUAAGGGUUGACUCGCCCGUUGUCGGGGGGUAGGUUGAUUCAGGCAGCCGGCGACGGCUGUCGUAGAUUAAUGAUAGAGGUUCGCUCCGCGAAUACAGAACCCGGCUUACAGGUUGCCGUUUUUU